UGUCGUGUUGUUGUGUGUGAGCUGUGGCAGUAACAAUGCCUUCAGUUCAGUAUCUGAGAGAGUUUAUCAAUGAGCGACUAACUGCUGCUGCUGAACAAAUAUUCUUGGAGUUUGAAAAAACGAUCGUCCAGUACGAGGAAGAGAUCGACCGUCAGCGCAGACUGCUGGAUAUCACCUGGAAACCCCAAAUCAAGCUGCACAGGACAGGUGAGUGUCCCUCUGAGGGAGGAUCCUAAUCACAGCUCUGCGGGACAUUUAACCAAACUUUUGUUUAAAAUGUGAAGAAACUGCAGUUGUAAGGUUUCCUGCAUCAGAUUUCAUAAAAAGAUCAUUACAGACCUUUAAAGCAGCAGUUUCAGUGGAGUGCAGCUUCUGACAAGCAGACUGAAAGGGAUCAGAAAUCUGUAGCAUUCAUGAUAAAGAUCUGAAGAGAUUUUCAACAACUUUUUCUAACAGUUUGAAUCAGAAUACUUUAUUGAUCCCUAGGGGAAAUCGUUUUUCGUUACAGUGCUCCAUUAUAAACAAACAGUAAAAAAGAUAGACAAUACACAACUAAGAAUAGCACCAUAUAUACAUGCAUAUAUGUAUAUAUAUAAAGUCACUUAUUAAUAAAUAGCUGAAAAUUCAAUUCAAUUCAAUUUUAUUUAUAUAGCGCCAAAUCACAACAAAAGUCGCCUCAAGGCGCUUUAUA